UUCUGGGAGGACUGACAGAUUGAGCUGUUUCUUGAUUCGGUGGAUGGUGGUGCAUGUCCGUUCUUAGUCGGUGGAGGGAUUUGUCUGGUGAAUUCUUAUAGCGAACGAGACUCUAGCCUAUUAAAUAGGUGCGUGGUUCUCUGCACCUUGCACACUUCUUAGAGGAACAAGCGGCUCCUAGCCACUUGAAACAGAGCAAUAACAGGUAUACGAUGCCCUUAUAU
rnacentral:rRNA from 1 species